rnacentral:rRNA from 1 species
CGACCUAUUAGCUAGAUGGUGUGGUAACGGCACACCAUGGCAACGAUAGGUAGGGGCCNUGAGAGGGGGAUCCCCCACACUGGUACUGAGACACGGACCAGACUCCUACGGGAGGCAGCAGUGGGGAAUCUUAGACAAUGGGGGCAACCCUGAUCUAGCCAUGCCGCGUGAGUGAUGAAGGCCUUAGGGUCGUAAAGCUCUUUCGCCUGUGAUGAUAAUGACAGUAGCAGGUAAAGAAA